CCUCAGCCGCCUCAGGAGCGGUGGCCGCCGCCUCGCGCCCGCCCGCACGGCUCCUUCCGCGGCGCGGGCCCGCCGUCCGCGCGGUACAGCAGCCUGCUCAGCCUCUACCCCUGCUGACUGCCUUGUCCCACUGGCUUAUCCUUGUUCCGUGCUGGGCACUCGGGGAAGAGUGGACCAGGACUGUCUAUGAGAGAGAAGCUCCUCACG